AUCACAAGUCCCCAACCUCCCCCUCCGUUCCUUUCUCUUUUUUUUUUUCCGAAAAAAAAAUAAAUUAAUUAAAAUUUUUAGUAACUAAUUAGUAUUUUUCUUAGCUCACCUUUUUUCUUGUUCUCCACCACCACCUCCUCUCUCUCUCUCUCUCUCUUCAAGAUUCCUCUCUUCUCUUCGACGAAGCUAUCUCCCCCAUGGCGGUGGACUUGGAGAGCUUCUCGAUCCGGGAGUUCGCGGCGAAGAUGAGGAACUUGGAUUUGGGGGGGAGCUGGCCCUUCGAAGGCGUGGGGAAAGAGGGAGUCGAAGCUCGAGCUCUGCCCCCGAUCUCCGCUCGGAGGUUCCGGUGGUGGUCCGACGAGCUCGACGCCGCUCGAUCGAGGGAGGCGGCGGCAGCUAGGGCUGACGUGGACGGCUCCGAUCGCCUCGGCGAGGAACCCGCGGUCGAAACCCUAGCCGAGAAGCCGCUUUUGGAUGGGGAGGAGGAGGAAGAGAGGCCGAUGAGAGCUUCUUGGAGGAGCAAGCAAAGGGCGCCGAAGAAGAAGAGGUCGAUCGCGGAGAUCUUCGCGCUCUCGCCGUUGAUCGAGGGCGUCGAGGAAGAAUCCGACGGCUGUGAUGGAGACGACGUAGGAGGCGAACGCGAGAGAGACGCUGAGGGAGGAGGCGGAGGCGUAGGACGAGAUCUGGGAACUGAGACGAGAGAGAGAGACGACGAAGAAGCUUCUAGAAAAGGAAAAGAAUCGGCGAAAGACGAGGAGAGGAUCGAAAAUAGUUCAAGAAAGAUCGAAAAAAAGAGAACAAAUAAGAAAAAAUCGAAGAUAAAUAAGAAGCUGAAAAUGGGGAUCUCCGUUUCCGAAAAGCUUAAAGUUCAAGAAGGAAAGCUUGUUCACUUACACAAAAGGAAGCCAGGAAAAAUUCGAUCUCUACCAAAGAAGCAGAAGCUGAAUUAUACUCGAAAUGCAAAAUUGAAGCUUAAAAACCUGGAGGAGGUAGUCAGGACUUUACCUGUACGUCGCAGGCUUAAGAAACAGACACAGAGUGCUUCUAUGAAAAAGACAAAGGGGACAAAAAUUUGUAGUGAAUCCGCUAAAAGUGUUAGUUCUUCAGGAGUUGAUGGCUCAAAGGAUGGUAAAACAUGUCGCUCUUUCGAGCUGCCUCAACUGAAAAGCCUUUGUGACAUAUUUUAUGGUGCAUUGGCUGCAUCAUCAGCUGAGGACACUUCCCAAAAAGGUUCCAAGGGCUUCACUGGCAGUCUGGAAUCCCAGGUGAAAAAUAUAAGGGACAAAGAUGCUGUUUCAAAAUCUGUAGGCAGGAAAGAUGGAGCCUUCUCUGAUAAGAAGUAUGCUGAUUCCCUUUUGUCUAUUGAUUCCCAAAGCGAUUUUCUGGGCACAGAAGGUAAUUUGUUGACUGAGCCUGUAGAUUUAAAUCAGAAGUAUGCUGGUGAACCAAGUGCGCUGAAUCCUGUUCGUGAAUUGAAUUUGAAUUCUGAUUCUGAGAUGAGUCUUCUUGGUGAGACAAGACUACAAAUUACAUCUGAUGCUGCAAAAGAACCACCAGUUUCAAUUGAGAAUUGUGUUCCAAAUUCAGAUACAGUAAGUUCGUUGUCUCUGCUAGGUGAUUGGAGUUCAGCACUCUUGACUUCUCAUCCACAACGGGGUAUGGAAGCAACUAAGUUGGAUUCGUGUAAUUCCAAGAGAUUCGGAAAUUUGAGAACUCCAUUAGAUCAAUGUUUUCCCUCUCGAGACAGAAGGAUUCAUGAGGAAUUCAACGGUUUGCCUCUACGCUUUAGUGGAGAACUUAUCCAGUUAGCCUCAAGUUCUGGUUCCGCUUAUAAUGAAUCCCUUAAGAAGCAAAUGCUUUAUCCUGUUUAUAGCACUAUACUAUCUAAUCAUGUUGAGUUGAUGAAUGACCAGCCAAAAAUGAAAGGGAAUAUUUCUAGCGCAUCACUUGAGGAGAUAGGCCGUCCAAAUAAGUUGCUGGAACAGCUGUCCGCUGCUGCAGAAACAGCAACAUCUGAAUUGGGGUUUACCGGCUUUCGAAAUUUCGGAAAAUCAGAAGCACGAAACCAUGAGUCAAAUAAUAAAAUUUGGCUUUCUCAAUCUCACUCAUAUCAAUCAGAGGUUUCAGGUUGUCGGUGCAGCGAAACUAGUAGAACUCAAAAUUGCAUCAAUGGAGAGAAAUCGAUAUGCGAGUUUCAGCCUCCUAUGGGACAAACGAUGCGCUUGAUGGGCCAAAAUGUGACAGUUGGGAGACAGAGCAAAGAACAUGAAGCUUCUAUUGAAGGGAAGGUAUGGACAGAUAAGGAAAUAAUUCUGGAAAGUCGCCCCUCAGUAAGACCAUCUGAUAUAUCCAGCCCAAAUGGAUGGCCUGAAGGGGGACCAAUUCACUCCGUAGCUCUAUCAGAAGCAGACGGUUUAUUAAAGCAAAGCUUUUUCCGUCCAGUAGAAGCUCCACCAAGCUUUUAUAGAAUGGCAGCAUCUGGUACUACUUUCCGGCAAGUGCAACUUAAACACCAAGAUGAAUCGAUAUUGAAAAGCGGAAAUUCCUCAGAAAUUGGGAACUACGGUUACAACACAAAUCUCUGUAGCCAUUCUUUUUCUCCACACGGUUCUAACUUUGGAUAUCUGAAUGGUGGAAUGGGUAAUUCAAGUUCUACCCAUUACAAACAUAGCAGAAGUGUAUGCUGCAGCACACGAUCUUUCAACCCCCCUAUUCCUAAUCAUGAUUAUACUAGCUUUGCUCGUGAUUCAACAGCUCACUCUCCAGCGUGUCUUCCUCACUGGCUGUUAAAUGCAAUACAACAAAGGGAAAUGCAAGAGCCUUCUUGUCUUUGCAAUGAUGCUGCCGGUUUACAGGGACCAUGUACAAUUCCAGGAUCAAAAAUUUUUCCCCUCGCCCGUACAUUUCGUCCUUCCUUAAUAUCUUUUCCUAUUUUCAGUUUCAAUAUAUCCCCCGCGUACGGCAUACAUGCUCCAGCUCCGUUUGUCCACCCUUCGUGUGUACCUUUAGCUGAUACAUCCUGCAAGAUGAAAACAAGGGUUGGCACGCAAUACGUAAGUAGAAAAAGGCAUGCAGAGAUGGAUGAUAGAUUCACGAAAACGGUGAAAAAGCCUAACCUGAGUACAUGCGCAGAGUUAAACACGCCAAAAGAACAGGGAAGUGUAGGAGAGCUGGAUCCUUCUGCACAAAAUGUCACAGAAGUAUCGAACCACCAUGCGAACAAGCAGAACAAUUGGCAUUGACAGGUGUAUUUAUGUUUACGCCUAAUUUUGACAGUAGAUCAGGAAGAUGGAAUUUAGUUUUAGAAUGAACUCAUGAUCUGAGGUGGAUGUUUUCAAGAUGUUGUUAUUAUAUUUGUAAGCUGUAACACAUAUUUGACUUGACUGGAGUUCUGUUGUUGAAGCAUGCUCGUGAGUCGUAGUCAGAUGCAAACUGUUAAAGAAUUGUGGAAGGAGAUGAGGGAGCAUCCUCUCCUCUGUACACCUCAUGAAAUUAUGGCACAAGACAAGCAAAUUCUGGGGCCACUCUGACUUGCUUUCCUAGCUCUGCCCGUGGUGAGCUAAAUAUCCACCGCGAACAUGGUACUCCAUAUUGUUACCAGAAAAAGAAACAACAAAGAAAAAGAAAAAAUGCUUACAACGACUGCAACAUCAAAGUAGUACUGAUGUUUGAAAAGCUGAGAUGGAAAGGCACCUCAAACGUGUUACAUCAUCAUCUAUUGCGAAAGCUACUGAAGCUGGUCUAUCACGUGAUGAGUGCAAUGUCUCUUCUACUUCUCAACCAGGUGUAGAAGGUGGUGAUAAACCUCUCACGUAGUGUGUCGAUCUGGCCCAAUUUGUUUUGUCAAAGCUCUCUUAUUCGCAAACUUUGAACACCCAAUAUAUAUUUAUACAUUAUUUUUUUAUAAA